rnacentral:tRNA from 1 species
GCCCGAGUGGCGGAAUAGGCAGACGCAGGGGGCUUAAACCCCCCGGCUCCGAACAGGGGCAUGUGGGUUCGAGUCCCACCUCGGGCACGA